UAUAAUAUAGCCCAGCAAAUGAAUGCACCAAGAUAAGCCAACUUGUAUUGGAAGUAAAGAUACCUUCAGGGUGGUAAAAGUAUGGGACUUUGAAACAGGAAGGCUCUUUCUGGAUUUACUGGGGCUCAUGGCAAUGCUGGAAUCACAUUCUGACCUUUGACUCCAGUGGAAGAAGGCUAGUCACUGGGGGCAGAGACGGCUGUCUGAAGAUAUGGAGCUACAACAACGGACAUCGUCUGCACACACUGAAACAUGGCAAGUUGCUUCCUACCAAGGCUCCCCAUAACAUAAUGAUGCAAGAUUGGGCAUUUGUUGUCAAGGUAGAAGAAACAAAUGAGAAUGGGAUCUAGGGUGCACGUGACAAUCCUACAUUCUUUUUCUCUGGCCCUUCAUUUUACCAAUGACUUUAAACUUCUACUGAGGAGAGACGUACUUUACAUGAAUGUAUGUGCUCCCAGCUAAGCCUUGUGCACCUGCUCCUUCAUCACCCGGUAUGUUUAUCUGCGUUCUUAAAAGAGCUUAGCUUUUCUAAACAUUUUAAACAUCACAUAAGUCAAAAUAUGGAUGAGCAAACUAAAAGCUAGUCUGUUUUGUGUGUUAGUGAUUUUUUUUUCCAAGGCCACUUUUCCACUUGUUCAUGUGCUGUACCUGAUUUUGGUCGAAUUUCCACAGUUCUGGCCUGUUGACUUUCCAUGAGGAAGAUAAGAGGCAAAAACUUUUCAA